UACGUAGGGUCCGAGCGUUGUCCGGAAUACUGGGCGUAAAGCGCUCGCAGGUGGUUCGUCGCGUCGUGCGUGAAAGACCCCGGCUCAACUGGGGGGUGUCGUGCGAUACGGGCGGACUGGAGGCCAGUAGGGGGAUGCGGAAUUCCGGGUGUAGUGGUGGAAUGCGUAGAGAUCCGGAGGAACACCAGCGGCGAAGGCGGCAUCCUGGACUGGUCCUGACACUCAGGAGCGAAAGCGUGGGGAGCGAGUCCGG
rnacentral:rRNA from 1 species